AUUUUUUUAGUUACGUUUACAACUCAACCGCUACAAUAGGUCAAACAAAUAUGGAGCCAAAAAAUUUCUAAUUUAGCGCUCAGAAUUUCAGUCCCAAAAAAAAGGGUUCAACUCUAAGUCGAUCUAUCUAUACUUCUUGUGCCCUAGUCUGUUUAUACUUUCACGAAGUAGCGCCAAGAAGUCACAGAGGCUUCUUGAUUUCACAAGCUACAGCCCACCGGUGUAUCGACGGUUCAUCCUCCAUCGGUGUAUCGACUGAUGCAUCAACGGUUCCUGAUUUCAGGCUGCAGCCCCCAAACCCAAUAGCAGCCACCAAAAAAUAGGAAAAUAAAACAGAGCUGCCACCAUCAUAGGUCAAUUGGAGAUCAGGCUGCAGCCCCAAAAUCCAGAAUAGAACACACUCAGAGCUCCACAUUUCCACCUAAACACCUUCUGAUCUGGCUAAGGAGGAGAAGAUGAAGGGAAAAAACAAAGAGGUGGUGACUAGGGAGUACACCAUCAACCUCCACAAGCACUUACACAGCUGAGACGUUGAAUUUGAAAAGUGCAAAUGAAUAUAAAUACUUGAGGCAAAGCAAUUGCUAUUCAAUUUCUAGGGUUGAUGAUGCUAUACAGUUUCGCAUUGUAAUGGUAUUUUCUUCUUGCCCUUGUUCUUAUUAUUAUGAGCACAGUUAUAACCAUCAAUGAACUGUUGAAUUUGAAUGAACAAUCCUAUUUAUUGCAGUUUGGACAUACGAAUCCAUACUAGCCCUCCUUGAGCCUGUUGGUCUUGAGUAUGACCCCAUGCACCUCAGUUCAAGGGUUCAAAUGCUAGUGAUGGAUUGCUAAAAUUGGACAUGGCAAUCCUUGUUGCAGUGAAGAGGUUUUGAAACCCCUUUAAAAAAAUUACAUUGCUGAUGGUACUUCAUGAAUGCCAUCAGCUGUUCUUAUAAUCAAAUCAAAAAUUUAGAAAACAAGCUCAUAGGAUUUUGGAAGAGGGAGAAGAACUAUUAAUAGAUUAGAUUGAUUGUUGAUAUUUGCUGAUAUCUACUUGUUUCUCUCACUUCAAUCCAUUGUCUUGAUGAUAGCAUGGGUGGAUUAAUAAAUUCUUCCCAUACUUUCCUUUGUCUUUAAGCAAUAAGUUUUAUACAUAGGUGGAUUAAAAUUGUUCCCAUUUUGAACCAACAUAAAUUUGGUGAAUUUUAUAUGAUAAAUCAAUAAAUGGUGGGUUAAAGAUCAGUUUUCUAGGAGAAUGGCUUUAAGCCAAACCUUGAUUGUACUAUUGUGGGUUAAAGAUUUGGGCAUUGAUAUUGUUUGAAUUUUAUGCAUAUUUUCUAAAAAUGAUAAAUGAAAGCUCAAUUUUCCAUCUUUCCGCUAUCUAUGCUCCCUUGAAUCUCAGGAAUCUCUUGACAACGUGCUAGUUGAACUCUACAAGGUACACACAUUUCUUCAAAUCUGACCUUCUCUAUCACCAUAGAUAUAGCUGUUGAUCUGACACGAAUUUUGUUGGCAAUAAUUAGGAGAAUUUGGAAAUGCAACUUUUGUGUAUGGAUGACUGGUGUGAUUUUCAUAGCAUUUGGAAAGAAUGCCUUUUUGGUUUUCGUGGCAUUUGAAAUAAGUUGUGUUUGGAUUUAAUGGAUAGGAAAUUAAAUGAUUUGGCACUCUUAAUUCAAGGAACUAGUUCAAAUUUAGAUUUCAUAGUUUACAAAUGGAUUUCAAGCCUUUUUUUGAGAUCUUUGUCGUGAUGAAUUUAAAAUAACGUUUUAGUAGCUUCUUGAAUCUUCAUGGUAAGGGUUUUAGUUCUACAAUUAUCCUAAUAAAAGAACCUUUUUUCCCCCCUCUGUUUUCUCUUUCCCAUUUAGCCUAAUAGUUAUAGUUUGACAUCUUGAAUACUCUCUUUAAUUACUUGGUGACCAAGACAAAUCUUUGAGUAUACAUCUUCAUUUUAUUGCAGAGAUCUGGUAGAAUUGAAGAACAGAUUGAAAUGCCUCAACAUUAAAGUGAAGACUAUUCUUAGAAGAACAGGUUAUUGGGGAACUUGGCCUGGGCAUACUUACAGCAAAAUAAUGUUUUGGAUUUCAAUGACUUCAAUCCUUCCACUCUUGAAAAUGUUCAUGAGUUCCUUGGACAAAAAGUCUCUUUGCAGCUCAUUAGUUUAGUCAAUGCGGACCCUACUGGUGAUAUAAGCAAAGAGGUAAACAGAGUCAGAGCAGCCUAAGAGAACCAAAUCUUGUGCGUGUAACAAAGAGCAACUACCUGUUUAAGCUUUUGCUCAUUGGAGAUUCAGGUGUUAGCAAAUCAUGUCUCCUUUUGAGGUUUGCUGUAAGUUCUCCCUCUUUUACACAGCUUCUUCUUCUUUUCCCCCUCUAUUUCUAUUCCUUCUUUCUUUUUCAAGAUUGCUUUAAUUAGCCAUGUUGUUUUGAUGUGAUUGUGUUAUUUUUCAAUGUUUUCUUG